rnacentral:rRNA from 2 species
CAGGGAUUGCCCUAGUAACGGCGAGUGAAGCGGCAACAGCUCAAAUUUGAAAUCUGGCUUUCGGGCCCGAGUUGUAAUUUGUAGAGGAUACUUUUGAUGCGGUGCCUUCCGAGUUUCCUGGAACGGGACGCCAUAGAGGGUGAGAGCCCCGUCUGGUUGGAUGCCAAAUCUCUGUAAAGUUCCUUCGACGAGUCGAGUAGUUUGGGAAUGCUGCUCUAAAUGGGAGGUAUAUGUCUUCUAAAGCUAAAUAUUGGCCAGAGACCGAUAGCGCACAAGUAGAGUGAUCGAAAGAUGAAAAGCACUUUGAAAAGAGAGUUAAAAAGUACGUGAAAUUGUUGAAAGGGAAGCGUUUAUGACCAGACUUGGACUUGGUUAAUCAUCUGGGGUUCUCCCCAGUGCACUUUUCCAGUUCAGGCCAGCAUCAGUUUUCGCCGGGGGAUAAAGGCAGCGGGAAUGUGGCUCUCUUCGGGGAGUGUUAUAGCCCGUUGUGUAAUACCCUGGUGGGGACUGAGGUUCGCGCUUCUGCAAGGAUGCUGGCGUAAUGGUCAUCAACGACCCGUCUUGAAACACGGACCAAGGAGUCGUCUUCGUAUGCGAGUGUUCGGGUGUCAAACCCCUACGCGUAAUGAAAGUGAACGCAGGUGAGAGCUUCGGCGCAUCAUCGACCGAUCCUGAUGUUCUCGGAUGGAUUUGAGUAAGAGCAUACGGGGCCGGACCCGAAAGAAGGUGAACUAUGCCUGUAUAGGGUGAAGCCAGAGGAAACUCUGGUGGAGGCUCGCAGCGGUUCUGACGUGCAAAUCGAUCGUCAAAUAUGGGCAUGGGGGCGAAAGACUAAUCG